UAAAGAUUCAUCGCUGAUAGAUAGGCAUGCGUUCCAUUAGGCAGUUGGCGGGGUAACGGCCCACCAAACCGACGAUGGAUAGGGGUUCUGAGAGGAAGGUCCCCCACAUUGGUACUGAGACACGGACCAAACUCCUACGGGAGGCAGCAGUGAGGAAUAUUGGUCAAUGGGCGCGAGCCUGAACCAGCCAAGUCGCGUGAGGGAUGAAGGUUCUAUGGAUCGUAAACCUCUUUUAUAAGGGAAUAAAGUGUGGGACGUGUCCUAUUUUGUAUGUACCUUAUGAAUAAGGAUCGGCUAACUCCGUGCCAGCAGCCGCGGUAAUACGGAGGAUCCGAGCGUUAUCCGGAUUUAUUGGGUUUAAAGGGUGCGUAGGCGGCCUUUUAAGUCAGCGGUGAAAGUCUGUGGCUCAACCAUAGAAUUGCCGUUGAAACUGGGGGGCUUGAGUAUGUUUGAGGCAGGCGGAAUGCGUGGUGUAGCGGUGAAAUGCUUAGAUAUCACGCAGAACCCCGAUUGCGAAGGCAGCCUGCCAAGCCAUGACUGACGCUGAUGCACGAAAGCGUGGGGAUCAAACAGGAUUAGAUACCCUGGUAGUCCACGCAGUAAAAGAUGAUCACUAGCUGUUUGCGA
rnacentral:rRNA from 1 species